rnacentral:rRNA from 1 species
UACGUAGGGUGCGAGCGUUAAUCGGAAUUACUGGGCGUAAAGCGUGCGCAGGCGGUUCUCCAAGUCCGAUGUGAAAGCCCCGGGCUUAACCUGGGAAUGGCAUGGGAAACUGGCGGGCUGGAGUGUGGCAGAGGGGGGUGGAAUUCCGCGUGUAGCAGUGAAAUGCGUAGAGAUGCGGAGGAACACCGAUGGCGAAGGCAGCCCCCUGGGCCAACACUGACGCUCAGGCACGAAAGCGUGGGGAGCAAACAGG